rnacentral:rRNA from 1 species
AACUCCGACCGGAGACGGAAGGAGUGCUUUUAUUAGAUCAAAACCAAUCGGUGGCGGGUUCGCUCGUCAUCGUACAACUUGGUGACUCUGAAUAACUUUAUGCUGAUCGCACGGUCUCGCACCGGCGACGCAUCUUUCAAAUGUCUGCCUUAUCAACUGUCGAUGGUAGGUUCUGCGCCUACCAUGGUUGUAACGGGUAACGGGGAAUCAGGGUUCGAUUCCGGAGAGGGAGCCUGAGAAACGGCUACCACAUCCAAGGAAGGCAGCAGGCGCGCAAAUUACCCACUCCCGGCACGGGGAGGUAGUGACGAAAAAUAACGAUACGGGACUCAUCCGAGGCCCCGUAAUCGGAAUGAGUACACUCUAAACCCUUUAACGAGGAUCAAUUGGAGGGCAAGUCUGGUGCCAGCAGCCGCGGUAAUUCCAGCUCCAAUAGCGUAUAUUAAAGUUGUUGCGGUUAAAAAGCUCGUAGUCGAAUCUGUGUCUUGCGCCGCCGGUUCAUCGUUCGCGGUGUUAACUGGCGUGUCGCAGGACGUCCUGCCGGUGGGCUUAGCUCGCAAGGGCGGCCCAACUCAAUCCUGCCGCGGUGCUCUUCACUGAGUGUCGAGGUGGGCCGGCACGUUUACUUUGAACAAAUUAGAGUGCUUAAAGCAGGCUAAAACUUCGCCUGAAUACUGUGUGCAUGGAAUAAUGGAAUAGGACCUCGGUUCUAUUUUGUUGGUUUUCGGAACCCCGAGGUAAUGAUUAAUAGGAACGGAUGGGGGCAUUCGUAUUGCGACGUUAGAGGUGAAAUUCUUGGAUCGUCGCAAGACGGACAGAAGCGAAAGCAUUUGCCAAAAACGCUUUCAUUGAUCAAGAACGAAAGUUAGAGGUUCGAAGGCGAUCAGAUACCGCCCUAGUUCUAACCAUAAACGAUGCCAGCUAGCGAUCCGUCGACGUUCCUCCGAUGACUCGACGGGCAGCUUCCGGGAAACCAAAGCUUUUGGGUUCCGGGGGAAGUAUGGUUGCAAAGCUGAAACUUAAAGGAAUUGACGGAAGGGCACCACCAGGAGUGGAGCCUGCGGCUUAAUUUGACUCAACACGGGAAACCUCACCAGGCCCGGACACCGGAAGGAUUGACAGAUUGAGAGCUCUUUCUUGAUUCGGUGGGUGGUGGUGCAUGGCCGUUCUUAGUUGGUGGAGCGAUUUGUCUGGUUAAUUCCGAUAACGAACGAGACUCUAGCCUGCUAACUAGGCGUAUUUUGACAUCGCAAAGGCCCGCCGGUAUCGGGGUUCGCUCCUUUAUCGUGCGCGGUUUUUACUGUCGGCGUACAAACAAUUCUUCUUAGAGGGACAGGCGGCUUCUAGCCGCACGAGAUUGAGCAAUAACAGGUCUGUGAUGCCCUUAGAUGUUCUGGGCCGCACGCGCGCUACACUGAAGGAAUCAGCGUGUCCUCCCUGGCCGAGUGGCCCGGGUAACCC